AGAGUUUGAUCCUGGCUCAGGAUGAACGCUAGCUACAGGCUUAACACAUGCAAGUCGAGGGCAGCAUGGUCUUAGCUUGCUAAGGCUGAUGGCGACCGGCGCGACGGGUGAGUAACACGUAUCCAACCUGCCGUCUAACGUCUUGGCCAGCCUUCUGAAAGGAAGAUUAAUCCAGGAUGGGAUCAUGAGUUCACAUGUCCGCAUGAUUAAAGGUAUUUUCCGGUAGACGAUGGGGA
rnacentral:rRNA from 1 species